UAAUUUAGGAAAGGUCCACUGAGAGGCAGCCUCUCUUUCUGCAGGAACGCCCUGAUCACGUUGUCAUAGUUCCACAUACCUACCUGGAAGCUGUCCAGUACAACCACUGAGCAGCUCCACUGGAGCAGUUGGGGGUUAAGGGCCUUGCUCAAGGGCACCUCAGUGGUGGUAAGGACUGAAGGAUAAGUGCUGCCCUAUCACUUCCCCCACCCAGAUCUUAUCCUGUCGGUCUGGGGAUUGAACCAACGAUCUCCCGGUCACAAGCUUGCAGCUCUAACCUUUAGGACACCACUGCCCCAAUAUGAUAAAAACACUGAUACUG